GUUUUGGUUUAUAUAGUUUACAACGAUAAUUCUUAAUUUUCUUAAUAUUACUUAAAUUAUACCCAUUGUCACAAUUUUUUUUAUCAUGAGUAAUUAAGUACAUGAGUUUACAAUUACAGUGGACAAUGAAAAGUUAAGGAAAGAAAAUUUAUUAUCAAACUCUUAAUAUGACACUCCUAUUAUGCCAAGUAGCGUUAAUAUAAAAAAUCACAUGGCAUAAUGGCAUGAACGUAUUUUGGUGUUCCUUUUAUUAUAUUUAUCACAUAGAGUAAUUCAAAGGUAAAUCAUGGAUGAUGGUCUACGACUAGUUUGUUAACCAAUAAUCCCCCACAUAUGCUAGGGCAUUUUAUGUGCUUUAAACCACCAACUACGUUAGUUUUUUAUUAUUAAUAAAAAAUUAUCUUGUCCUACAAGAAAAUAAUGCUAUGGCAAUGCUAUCACAAUAUAUCUAUGAUUCAAAAUCAGAGCAUUAUUAUCAUAUAAAAUGAAAGUAUUUGUUUUGGCCAUUUGGGGAAAGUUUGUGGACCAAUAUUCACACUCAAAAUGAUAAUAUCAACAAUCCCAUAAACUAGUCAAUGAAAUAAAUUCACAUAGCCAUGAAUUUCGCAUACAUAUUUUCUAGCUGCUAGAAAGGAGUAAGGUUCUCAAAUGUAAAAUAUACAUUUAUCUAAAUAU
rnacentral:misc_RNA from 1 species